GACGUAGGGGGCCAGCGUUGCUCGGAAUUACUGGGUGUAAAGGGUUCGUAGGCGGUGUGGCAAGUCGGGGAGUGAAAUCUCUGGGCUCAACCCAGAGUCUGCUUCCGAAACUGCUGUGCUUGAGUGUGGGAGAGGCGCGUGGAAUUGCAGGUGUAGCGGUGAAAUGCGUAGAUAUCUGCAGGAACACCCGUGGCGAAAGCGGCGCGCUGGACCACUACUGACGCUGAGGAACGAAAGCUAGGGGAGCAAACAGG
rnacentral:rRNA from 1 species